GUGGGGAAUAUUGGGCAAUGGGCGAAAGCCUGACCCAGCAACGCCGCGUGAAGGAAGAAGGUCUUCGGAUCGUAAACUUCUAUCCUUGGUGAAGAUAAUGACGGUAGCCGAGAAGGAAGCCCCGGCUAACUACGUGCCAGCAGCCGCAGUAAUACGUAGGGGGCAAGCGUUGUCCGGAAUGAUUGGGCGUAAAGGGCGCGUAGGCGGCCUGGUAAGUCUGGAGUGAAAGUCCUGCUUUUAAGGUGGGAAUUGCUUUGGAUACUGUCGGGCUUGAGUGCAGGAGAGGUAAGUGGAAUUCCCGGUGUAGCGGUGAAAUGCGUAGAGAUCGGGAGGAACACCAGUGGCGAAGGCGACUUACUGGACUGUAACUGACGCUGAGGCGCGAAAGUGUGGGGAGCAAACAGGAUUAGAUACCCUGGUAGUCC
rnacentral:rRNA from 1 species